GCCUGGGUGUCUCAGUCGGUCAAGCGUCUGACUUCGGCUCAGGUCGUGGUCUCGCUGUUUGUGGGUUCGAGCCCCACAUCGGGCU
rnacentral:tRNA from 1 species